GGGCCUAUAGCUCAGCUGGCAGAGCACCGGACUCUUAAUCCGAUGGUCCUAGGUUCGAUCCCUAGUGGGCCCA
rnacentral:tRNA from 1 species